GAUGAACGCUGGCGGCGUGCCUAAUACAUGCAAGUCGAGCGAACGGACGUGAAGCUUGCUUCUCUGAUGUUAGCGGCGGACGGGUGAGUAACACGUGGAUAACCUACCUAUAAGACUGGGAUAACUUCGGGAAACCGGAGCUAAUACCGGAUAAUAUUUUGAACCGCAUGGUUCAAAAGUGAAAGACGGUCUUGCUGUCACUUAUAGAUGGAUCCGCGCUGCAUUAGCUAGUUGGUAAGGUAACGGCUUACCAAGGCAACGAUGCAUAGCCGACCUGAGAGGGUGAUCGGCCACACUGGAACUGAGACACGGUCCAGACUCCUACGGGAGGCAGCAGUAGGGAAUCUUCCGCAAUGGGCGAAAGCCUGGCGGAGCAACGCCGCGUGAGUGAUGAAGGUCUUCGGAUCGUAAAACUCUGUUAUUAGGGAAGAACAUAUGUGUAAGUAACUGUGCACAUCUUGACGGUACCUAAUCAGAAAGCCACGGCUAACUACGUG
rnacentral:rRNA from 1 species